ACGGGUGAGUAACAUAUUGGAACGUACCGAGUAAUGGGGGAUAACUAUCCGAAAGGAUAGCUAAUACCGCAUACGCUUUAAGAAGGAAAGUGGGGGCUCUUCGGACCUCACGUUAUUCGAGCGGCCAAUACCUGAUUAGCUAGUUGGCGGGGUAAAAGCCCACCAAGGCGACGAUCAGUAGCGGGUCUGAGAGGAUGAUCCGCCACACUGGGACUGAGACACGGCCCAGACUCCUACGGGAGGCAGCAGUGGGGAAUUUUGGACAAUGGGGGCAACCCUGAUCCAGCAAUUCUGUGUGCACGAAGAAGGUUUUCGGAUUGUAAAGUGCUUUCAGCAGGGAAGAAGUAAGUGACGGUACCUGCAGAAGAAGCGACGGCUAAAUACGUGCCAGCAGCCGCGGUAAUACGUAUGUCGCGAGCGUUAUCCGGAAUUAUUGGGCAUAAAGGGCAUCUAGGCGGCCUGACAAGUCAGGGGUGAAAACCUGCGGCUCAACCGCAGGCCUGCCUUUGAAACUGUGAGGCUGGAGUACCGGAGAGGUGGACGGAACUGCACGAGUAGAGGUGAAAUUCGUAGAUAUGUGCAGGAAUGCCGAUGAUGAAGAUAGUUCACUGGACGGUAACUGACGCUGAAGUGCGAAAGCCGGGGGAGCAAACAGGAUUAGAUACCCUGGUAGUCCCGGCUGUAAACG
rnacentral:rRNA from 1 species